UGUCAUUAAAUAACACACUAUCUGUGCAAAUAAUUUGUGGAUAAAUGUUUUACCAACUAUGGAGGAAGUACUAUUUUAUUAAAAUAUGUAAGAAUCCAUGGGGUGCCAAAAUAAUAUUUCUGUAGUCAUAUGAGAUUUAGUUCUACAUCAGAUGUUUGGCUGCACCCCAUCUCUAGAACUGGUAAUACAAUGAACACUAUUGAAAUUGAAUUUGCACAGUCAAUUAUUG